GGGAAUCUCGUUAACGCGCCGCCAAUUAGUGACAAGGCAUUUGGUUAUUAAAUCUCAUUUUCACAAAAUCAAGAGUUGCAUUGCUACUUUUUGAAAUUAGGAAAACUGGAACCCAUUAAUAAAAAAAACAGAACUGACGAUAAAUAUAAAUGUAACAUUCACAAGAUAAACAAAGAAAUUCCACCUGUUUCAUUACAUAAACAGGAGCUACUUGUUGACAAAAGGACGACGCAGGACAUUUCAUGCAAGUUGGUCUUGGUGGCCCGUACGAUUGAUCUUGUUGGAAAUACAGUGAACUGCGCGAAACGUACCAAGAAGUACUCGGGUGCAAACAAUAGAGGUCUGGAAUAGUUGAGUACUUGAAUCUUUUAACCAUCUUCGAUAGCUACUGACCAAAUACCCAGGACAUUGGCAAGGCUGCACCGAUGGUAUUGGAUUUCUUGCAGCUUGAUGUUUUUUCUGGUGGACUAUCCAAUUCACGAUUAUCGCGGGGUAACUGAUUUUCAUACGAAUCGCCAAUCAUUCAUAACCAUAACCAGAAUCUUGAAUAUAUUUUAACCAAAUCUGGCUUACGAUUUCUGGUAUAUAAUGGUUCAGAAAUGACUUCUGCAGCCUCGAUUCUCCAAUUCUCUUUUCAGGUAAUUAUUACCGCAUUAUGUCUAAUAAAUAUUCUUUUCCUUGGGCAUGCUUGAGAAGUCUCCUUCAGGGGAACCAGCUCUGCAAUAUUGCCUUGGGAAAUAAACGCUCUCUGUAUAGCCAUAACGGCACUCUUUCCAUUUCAAUUAUCUUGUCUUUGGUUUUAAAUCGGAAUUUCGUCUUGGUAUUUGCACGGUGUGCUGAGACCUGCUCAGUGAACACCGAGACCACCCAGUCCGGAACCACAUCGAACAAUACUUGCACUCAAAUCCCGCUGUUGCCAUGUCGAUUGCAACUGUCAACCAAGCUGAAGAGAGGCAGUUAGGGUCAUAGUAGAAAAAAAAGCAAUACAGACUGAGAACGAGAGAAAAGAAGCCGAGUUCUUGCGGGGACUAAUGCAGGCCAGGGGCGGGAUAGUAUUUAGUCUACUGACUGAAGAUCAGCUGUGCAGGUGCGCCACGGAGAGGCACGUGUUACCCGGAUAGAGGCUGGCAUUACGCUAUUCGCACCGCUAUGACAGGCUUAGCACCGCUUUCACCAAAAAAAUGUCAUCGGAACCCAAAAGAAGGUUAGAGAGUCAUAGUUACUCCCGCUGUUUACCCGCCCUUGAUGAAUUCUUCACUUUGAUAUUCACAAAGCACGAUGAAAUCGCAUGGUGCCAUCACCGCCAUCGCAAUGCUUUGUUUUAAUUGAGACAGUCGAUUACCUAGUACGCCAGUUCUGAGUCGGCCGUUAGCUUCGCCGAAACUGCC